rnacentral:piRNA from 1 species
UCAGUUAGUCAGUGAAGACUGAGGUAUC